UUUAGUGGCGGACGGGUGAGUAAUACGUAGAUAAUCUGCCUUUUAGAGGGAAAUAACAAGAAGAAAUUUUUGCUAAUGUCCCAUAAGACCACGCUAUGGCAUCAUAAAGUGAUCAAAGGAGAAAUCCGCUAAAAGAUGAGUCUACGGCUGAUUAGCCAGUUGGUGGGGUAAGAGCUUACCAAAGCAAUGAUCAGUAGCCGAGCUGAGAGGCUGGCCGGCCACAUUGGGACUGAGACACGGCCCAGACUCCUACGGGAGGCAGCAGUUGGGAAUAUUGGACAAUGGAGGAAACUCUGAUCCAGUGACGCCGCGUGAAGGAAGAAGGUCUUCGGAUUGUAAACUUAUUUUGUCAGGGAAGAAAAAAUGACUGUACCUGAAGAAAAAGCACCGGCUAACUACGUGCCAGCAGCCGCGGUAAUACGUAGGGUGCAAGCGUUAUCCGGAUUUACUGGGUGUAAAGGGCGAGUAGACGGCGUUGCAAGUCAGAUGUGAAAACCUAGAGCUUAACUUUAGGACUGCAUCUGAAACUGUAAUGCUAGAGUGCAGGAGAGGUAAGCGGAAUUCCUAGUGUAGCGGUGAAAUGCGUAGAUAUUAGGAAGAACACCAGUGGCGAAGGCGGCUUACUGGACGGUAACUGACGUUGAGGCGCGAAAGUGUGGGGAGCAAACAGGAUUAGAUACCCUGGUAGUCCACACCGUAAACGAUGGAUACUAGGUGUAGGAGGUAUCGACCCCUUCUGUGCCGCAGUAAACACAAUAAGUAUCCCACCUGGGGAGUACGCACGCAAGUGUGAAACUCAAAGGAAUUGACGGGGGCCCGCACAAGCAGUGGAGUAUGUGGUUUAAUUCGAAGCAACGCGAAGAACCUUACCUGGUCUUGACAUCCCGGCGACCGGUGUAGAGAUACACCUUUCCUUCGGGACGACGGUGACAGGUGGUGCAUGGUUGUCGUCAGCUCGUGUCGUGAGAUGUUGGGUUAAGUCCCGCAACGAGCGCAACCCCUAUUGUCAGUUGCCAUCAUUAAGUUGGGCACUCUGGCGAGACUGCCGGUGACAAAUCGGAGGAAGGUGGGGACGACGUCAAAUCAUCAUGCCCCUUAUGACCAGGGCUACACACGUACUACAAUGGCCGGUAACAAAGUGCAGCGAAUCCGCGAGGAGGAGCGAAUCACAAAACCCGGUCUCAGUUCAGAUUGCAGGCUGCAACUCGCCUGCAUGAAGUUGGAAUUGCUAGCAAUCGCGAAUCAGAAUGUCGCGGUGAAUACGUUCCCGGGCCUUGUACACACCGCCCGUCACACCAUGAGAGCCGAUAACACCCGAAGCCUGUGAGCUAACCGAAAGGAGGCAGCAGUCGAAGGUGGGGUUGGUGAUUGGGGUGA
rnacentral:rRNA from 1 species